AAGCAUAAUAAGAGGCGUGUUCCACCACUGUGGACGGGGUCCCUGGGCUUUCCCCUAGGGUCCCAUCAGCUGCUUAUGUUCUACCUUCUGACGGAUCACAGGAGGAGCCUGCAGCGGAGGAGCCUCCUCCUCCUCAGCAUCAGACCUAAAGGGAGUGUCCUGCCUGAAGGACCGGCUCAAGGUCGCACUAACAGCUCUUGCUAACUCCUGUUCCAGGCUGUUUAUCUGGGCCUCCAAGUACCCUGCUUGCGCCUGGAGGUCUCUCACCCCCAGGUCCUGCUCAAAGCUGUGCACUUGGGCCCCCAGGCAUGCGGCUUGCUCCGGAAGGUCCCUUACCUGUGGCACUGAGCAUGUACUUCCUGCAGUGCAGUUAGAAAUGCCCAUCCGACUCUGCUUGCAAAGGCACAGCUGCUUAAAGACUGUUACCGGAAAGGAAUCCUGAUCCAGACGCCAAGAGAGGGUUCUUGGACUCAUGCAAGAAAGACUUCAGCUGGCUGCAGAUGACAGUGACACCCUGGGAGUUGAGAAAUGCUUGUAAGAUGGAAGGAGGCUGUGUCCCUGAAUGAUCACCUGGAAGAGAGCCACCUUAGCCAAUGAAACUCCUGCUAUGAAUGUUUGCUGAGCAAGAAAUAUACUUACUGCUUUAUAUGCCUUUGAAGCUAUAGGUUCAUAUUGUUACCACAAUUUAAAGUGCUAUAAUAAAAAGAGUUCAGGAAGCAGGCACAUGGAAGCAAUAAGAGCAACAAACAUUUACACAGGACAGAGAUCAUGGAAGUUGGGCCCGACUGGAUGAGAUUUGGGGGUCUUUGGAAGUGGAGAAUGUGUUUGCCCUGGGGAAGAGAGGUGAUGUCUAGGAGACCUCUUCACUCAGGGCAAGCUCUAUGACCUGCUUUGACUCCAGAAUGUGGUAGAAGUGGCAUCACAUAAAUUGCAGAGCCUAGGCUUCAAGAGACCUUGCAACUUGCCUCUCACUGACUUGAAGUGCUCCCAUCAGAGCAUCUUGUAAGGAGCAGGUGGAGCAUGUGGACAAGCCAUCCCCACCAGCCCCUGAGACAUGUGAGAGAGGCCAGAACAGGCCAUCCGGACCCCACUGUGCUGGUGGAUGAGACAGCAGAAGGAAUAUCAACCUACCAACAGAAUCCUGAGAAAUGCUCACUCUUACUUCAAGCUGCUGCAUUUUGAUGUUAUGAAACCAUAAAUAACUUAUGAAGUCAUCUUUGCUGACUUAAAGUUUUCCAUAACUUUAUUAUAACAUAUCAAAAUUAUGAAAAAUGUGAAAAGUAGAAAACUGAUGAAUUUUGCUUCUUCAUAUGGUCUUUAAGAAUCUCAAAGGCACUGAAGUUUUUUAUCUUUUCUGUCUUAGAAUAAAAAACCUUGAAUGAAAA
rnacentral:lncRNA from 1 species